GAGCUCAGUGGGCAGAGCAUCUGCUUAGCAUUCAGAAGGUCUUGGGUUCAACUCCUGGAAUCUCCA